AUGAACGCUGGCGGCGUGCCUAAUACAUGCAAGUCGAGCGAACGGACGAGAAGCUUGCUUCUCUGAUGUUAGCGGCGGACGGGUGAGUAACACGUGGAUAACCUACCUAUAAGACUGGGAUAACUUCGGGAAACCGGAGCUAAUACCGGAUAAUAUUUUGAACCUCAUGGUUCAAAAGUGAAAGACGGUCUUGCUGUCACUUAUAGAUGGAUCCGCGCUGCAUUAGCUAGUUGGUAAGGUAACGGCUUACCAAGGCAACGAUGCAUAGCCGACCUGAGAGGGUGAUCGGCCACACUGGAACUGAGACACGGUCCAGACUCCUACGGGAGGCAGCAGUAGGGAAUCUUCCGCAAUGGGCGAAAGCCUGACGGAGCAACGCCGCGUGAGUGAUGAAGGUCUUCGGAUCGUAAAACUCUGUUAUUAGGGAAGAACAUAUGUGUAAGUAACUGUGCACAUCUUGACGGUACCUAAUCAGAAAGCCACGGCUAACUACGUG
rnacentral:rRNA from 1 species